GGCGACGUACCCAAGCGGUAAGGGAACGGCCUGCAAAGCCGCUAUUCGCCGGUUCGACUCCGGCCGUCGCCU
rnacentral:tRNA from 1 species